CCUACGGGAGGCAGCAGUAGGGAACAUUGCGCAAUGGGCGAAAGCCUGACGCAGCAACGCCGCGUGCACGAUGAAGGUCUUCGGAUCGUAAAGUGCUUUUAUGAGGGAAGAGAAAGGACUGUACCUCAUGAAUAAGGAUCGGCUAACUACGUGCCAGCAGCCGCGGUAACACGUAGGAUCCAAGCGUUAUCCGGAUUUACUGGGCGUAAAGCGCGUGCAGGUGGUUAGGUAAGUUGGAUGUUAAAUCUCCCGGCUCAACUGGGAGCUGUCGUUCAAAACUGCCAAACUAGAGGACGGUAGAGGGAGGUGGAAUUCAGGGUGUAGUGGUGAAAUGCGUAGAUAUCCUGAGGAACACCAGUGGCGAAGGCGGCCUCCUGGCCCGCUCCUGACACUAAGACGCGAAAGCUAGGGUAGCGAACGGGAUUAGACACCCCGGUAGUCCUAGCCGUAAACGAUGUGAACUUGGUGUUGGUGGGGUAAAACCCAUCAGUGCCGUAGCAAACGCGAUAAGUUCACCGCCUGGGGACUACGGUCGCAAGAUUAAAACUCAAAGGAAUUGACGG
rnacentral:rRNA from 1 species